rnacentral:rRNA from 1 species
CCUACGGGUGGCUGCAGUAGGGAAUCUUCCACAAUGGACGAAAGUCUGAUGGAGCAACGCCGCGGGAGUGAAGAAGGGUUUCGGCUCGUAAAGCUCUGUUGGUAGGGAAGAAAGAUAGAGGUAGUAACUGGCCGUUAUUUGAAGGGAAUUACUUAGCAAGUCACGGAUAACUACGUGCCAGCAGCCGCGGUAAUACGGAGGUGGCAAGCGUUGUCCGGUGGUAUUGGGCGUAAAGUGAGUGCAGGCGGUUCAAUAAGUCUGAUGGGAAAGCCUUCGGCUCAACCGGAGAAUUGCAUCAGAAACUGUUGAACUUGAGUGCAGAAGAGGAGAGUGGAACUCCAUGUGUAGCGGUGGAAUGCGUAGAUAUAUGGAAGAACACCAGUGGCGAAGGCGGCUCUCUGGUCUGCAACUGACGCUGAGGCUCGAAAGCAUGGGUAGCGAACAGGAUUAGAUACCCUUGUAGUC